rnacentral:misc_RNA from 1 species
UUUCCGUAGGUGAACCUGCGGAAGGAUCAUUAUCAAUUUUACAGUCCUGGGAUGGGGGUAUAAAAGCCCCCAUCCCAUGCUGUUCAACCCUUUGUCUUUUGCGUACUGUAUGUUUCCUCGGCGGGUUCGCCCGCCGAUAGGACACUUCAAAACCUUUUGUAAUUGCAAUCAGCGUCAGAAAAACUAUAAUAGUUACAACUUUCAACAACGGAUCUCUUGGUUCUG